UGGAGAAGAGAAAAGCCAUGAUUCAAUUAUAAACAUGAAUACAGCCCAAAACACGUCUUAUCAAGCUGUUACACAAGCAGUUCUGGACUCAGUGAGAUUGCUGGUCAGCCUUCAUUGAAGACUCUCUGCUGCUUUUUCAAGGUACAAUUUAAGCCCAUUUAAGCAUUUUUCAAAGUCUUUCUGCACAGACCACUCUUUUCUCUCUUCUCAGAACAAACUCAAAAGUGUCAUCUGGAUGUCACUGCUGUGACCCAUCCCCUGGACCUGGGCAUGGAGGAAGGGGUGACAUUUUACUCUGUUUUGCCUUGUCCCACUGCUGCCAGCCAGGACAGCCACCAAACACCUUGGGUUUGGUUUGAUGGAUCUCCUUCCAGGCAGCUUUCUGCCUGCUGCUCUGGGGAUCUAGAGGUACUGGAACAGAAGAAUCACCCAGAUGUCCCACAGCCAAAGGGUCUCUCAUGCAUUGUCCUGGAAUGCUUCCAUGUUUGGAUCCACUCAGGAGGAUCUCUGAGCUUUGCCAGGAAUGGAAGACUGGGAACUUAACACAUCAAGAAGAAAUUAAAAAUAGAGAAAUGGCUUCGCUGAAGAUACCAACAACCAUCCAUUAGUCCAAAGAAAAGAAUAUCUGAAGUUUUCUUUAUAAAUUAAACUGAAGGUUAUCUUCCAGCUCUUUAGUGAAGUUUGAUACUUCAUCAGAAGGAAAAUUAACAUGCUCAUCAGCCAGUCCAGAUUCUUAGGUGGUGUGGAGAGCUGUGUGAGAUCAUAUCCUCAGCAAAACUAUGGAAUGCUAGGAAGCGAAUCAGGAGAGCCAAUUCCUAACUCUCAUUUUAACGAUGGGGUGCCUCAUGUUAGUCAUGAAAUGUAAGCAAAUAAUAGGUGUUGCUGAAGGGCUGCUCUUACACUAUUGGCUCUUCCCUCUGAAAGAUUAAAGCAGGAGAGAACCAUUCCUUUAAGUUUUAAAUACAUUGAUUCUCUACAUAUUUCAGCUGUUUUGUGAUGGCAAAUACAUCAAAAUCUUAUUUUUUGAAUGUAUUUUGAAGAACAAGGGCAGAGCCUUCAAAUUCAAAGACUGGAGAAGGGUGACUGACCAGGUUUUUGUAACACUCUGCUCCCAUGUCCAUCUCUCAGGUACUUGUUCCACCUUCAUAUUUCACUUACUCUCCUUGUACAGAGAGGAAAACGACACAACACAAACCAAAGAGGUCACUGUGCUCCUAUAAGGGGUGUUUAGUCACUAAUAAUGUAGAAUAAAUUUUUUAAAAUCAUGCA
rnacentral:lncRNA from 1 species